GGCAGACGGCUCAGUAACGCGUAGUCAACCUAACCUAUGGACGGGAAUAACCUCGGGAAACUGAGAAUAAUGCCCGAUAGAACACUAUGCCUGGAAUGGUUUGUGUUCCAAAUGAUUUAUCGCCGUAGGAUGGGACUGCGGCCUAUCAGUUUGUUGGUGAGGUAAUGGCCCACCAAGACUAUUACAGGUACGGGCUCUGAGAGGAGUGGCCCGGAGAUGGGUACUGAGACACGGACCCAGGCCCUAUGGGGCGCAGCAGGCGAGAAAACUUUGCAAUGUGCGAAAGCACGACAAGGUUAAUCCGAGUGGUUUCUGCUAAAGGAACCUUUUGUCGGUCCUAGAAACACCGAUGAAUAAGGGGUGGGCAAGUUCUGGUGUCAGCCGCCGCGGUAAAACCAGCACCUCAAGUGGUCAGGAUGAUUAUUGGGCCUAAAGCAUCCGUAGCCUGCUUUGUUAGUUUUCGGUUAAAUCUGUACGCUCAACGUACAGGCUGCCGGGAAUACUGCAAAGCUAGGGAGUGGGAGAGGUAGACGGUACUCGGUAGGAAGGGGUAAAAUCCUUUGAUCUAUUGAUGACCACCUGUGGCGAAGGCGGUCUACCAGAACACGUCCGACGGUGAGGGAUGAAAGCUGGGGGAGCAAACCGGAUUAGAUACCCGGGUAGUCCCAGCUGUAAACCAUGCAAACUCAGUGAUGCAUUGGCUUGUGGCCAAUGCAGUGCUGCAGGAAGCCGUUAAGUUUGCCGCCUGGGAAGUACGUACGCAAGUAUGAAACUUAAAGGAAUUGGCGGGGGAGCACCACAAGGGUGAAGCCUGCGGUUCAUUUGGAUU
rnacentral:rRNA from 1 species